rnacentral:rRNA from 1 species
AGGACGAACGCUGGCGGCGUGCUUAACACAUGCAAGUCGAGCGCUGUAGCAAUACAGAGCGGCAGACGGGUGAGUAACGCGUGGGAACAUACCUUUUGGUUCGGAACAACACAGGGAAACUUGUGCUAAUACCGGAUAAGCCCUUACGGGGAAAGAUUUAUCGCCGAAAGAUUGGCCCGCGUCUGAUUAGCUAGUUGGUGAGGUAACGGCUCACCAAGGCGACGAUCAGUAGCUGGUCUGAGAGGAUGAUCAGCCACAUUGGGACUGAGACACGGCCCAAACUCCUACGGGAGGCAGCAGUGGGAAUAUUGGACAAUGGGCGCAAGCCUGAUCCAGCCAUGCCGCGUGAGUGAUGAAGGCCCUAGGGUUGUAAAGCUCUUUUGUGCGGGAAGAUAAUGACGGUACCGCAAGAAUAAGCCCCGGCUAACUUCGUGCCAGCAGCCGC